rnacentral:sRNA from 1 species
UAUAUUCUCCACAGGGGGGGGAUGAGAACCCCCGACCGGGGUUCGACAACUGGCACCGCCAGUUGGACAGACCGCGCGCCUGCGAGCGGGCUGCCCCGCAGGGGCGAGCGAAGCGAGUCAAUCCCCCCCUCACCGCCA